GGAACGGGCCUUUCAGGCAUCCUCUCCUAAAGACUUUCGGGUCGGUUCUCUCGGGAACCGGCCCUUUUUUUUGCACUGC
rnacentral:sRNA from 2 species